UACGAAGGGGGCUAGCGUUGUUCGGAAUUACUGGGCGUAAAGCGCGCGCAGGCGGUUCUCCAAGUCAGUGGUGAAAGCCCGGAGCUCAACUCCGGAACUGCCAUUGAAACUGUUGAACUUGAGGACGAGAGAGGUGAGUGGAAUUCCCAGUGUAGAGGUGAAAUUCGUAGAUAUUGGGAAGAACACCGGUGGCGAAGGCGGCUCACUGGCUCGUUUCUGACGCUCAGGCGCGACAGCGUGGGGAUCAAACAGG
rnacentral:rRNA from 1 species